CCCCAAAGACUGGCACCUCAGCCUGCCAGGAGGGAAUACAUCUCGACCCACGAGACUGUACUUCAGCCCACAAGAUCGGCACUUCCGCCCGCGGGACCGCACCCUGAUUCCUGAGUACUCACGAGACCGCACCUCUUCACGCGAGACCUGCACCUCUUCACGCGAGACCUGCACCUCUUCACGCGAGACCCUACUUCAGCCCAGGAGACAGGCACUUUCACCCGUGAGAGUGCCCUUCAGCCUGAAGACCAGCACCAAGGCAAAGAAAGGCUUAACCCUCCUGGAAGAAAUGUUAAACCACCUCUGUGAGCAGUGUAGUACUAUCUGUACAUGUUCAGUGAUGUGGAGGAGGUGAGAAAGAAGCAAUUUCAAAAGAUGAUCUUUGCAAACCUGUGUGAGGAGCAAUAUGAACCUUCUCUUCACUGAUGGUGGAGAUAUCAAGCUCAGCAGAGGGUGUGCUCCCCAUACUCCUUCUCAAGACAGAAAAGCUGAAGGAAUAUUAGAGGGACAUCUGUAAGGCCACCACCUGGUUCUGCCAUAAAGUUUUGUUUGUGCUUGUCAUAUGU